rnacentral:rRNA from 1 species
AUGGGCUUCGGCCCGAUGGCGAGUGGCGAACGGGUGAGUAAUGCAUCGGAACGUGCCCAGUCGUGGGGGAUAGCUCGGCGAAAGCCGGAUUAAUACCGCAUACGAUCCACGGAUGAAAGCGGGGGACCCUCGGGCCUCGCGCGACUGGAGCGGCUGAUGUCAGAUUAGGUAGUUGGUGGGGUAAAGGCUCACCAAGCCAACGAUCUGUAGCUGGUCUGAGAGGACGACCAGCCACACUGGGACUGAGACACGGCCCAGACUCCUACGGGAGGCAGCAGUGGGGAAUUUUGGACAAUGGGGGCAACCCUGAUCCAGCAAUACCGCGUGCAGGAAGAAGGCCUUCGGGUUGUAAACUGCUUUUGUACGGAACGAAACGGUAAGGGCUAAUACCUCUUGCUAAUGACGGUACCGUAAGAAUAAGCACCGGCUAACUACGUGCCAGCAGCCGCGGUAAUACGUAGGGUGCAAGCGUUAAUCGGAAUUACUGGGCGUAAAGCGUGCGCAGGCGGUUUUGUAAGACAGGCGUGAAAUCCCCGGGCUCAACCUGGGAAUGGCGCUUGUGACUGCAAGGCUCGAGUACGGCAGAGGGGGAUGGAAUUC